GAACGAGGAGCUAGCUAGGACAAAUUUAUGUUUUUAGUAAUUUUUCUAUUUGGAUUGGGACUUAAUGUUUUCCUUUGUUCAUCAGGAGUGGUUGAUUAAGGUUCGUUGUAGCUUUACAAAAGCCUUGUUCAAACAACGCAGAAAGACCAAACCUCCUCAUUUAGAAUUUAGAUGGAGGAGAGAAUCUACCCCAAUCGCUGCACCAGUAGCUUAGCAGAAACCGUAGCCAGCAUAGAACAAGUCCUUACCGAAAUCCUUGUGCGCGUGCUAGCUAAACCUCUUGUCCGCUUCAAAUGCGUCUCCAAACAUUGGCUCUCUCUGCUGUCUUUUGUGACAAAUCCUGCCGCCCCUUUUAUUUCGUUCCUAUUGAUUUUGAUCACAUGAGUGGAACUGGUAGUACUAGUAGUAAUACUAGUAACCGACUAACCGUGAAAACCAAAAUCCAUCUGGGUCUGGUUCGCCUACUUGUAAUCCUCUCGAUUUUGUUCAGAACCAAUAUGAUUAUGACAUCAAAACUUUCCAGACCUUUCCUGUCAACCGUCUUCAUUUUGAUCACGAAAGCCCCUCUCGCUGUGGUUCACCCCCUUUCAAUCCUCUUAAAUUUGCUCAAAACCAAUAUCAUGAUGACAUCAGAAUUAUCCAGUCCUGCAAUGAACUCUUCCUGUGUCGUCUUUAAAGAUGUCGUCUUUAAAGAUGCAAGUGUUGGUUCUCCAAAGAUGCAAGUGUUUGUCAAAUUUAUGAGCCAAAGAAAAAUCAUUAUGAGCUAAAAAAAAAAAGAGCAUUGUUUAUGUCCUCGAUCUGAUUCAGUUCUUCGAUCAGUUUGUACGGUUAUACCCAGAUAUUACAUGCACAAGUAUGGGCUUAAACGUUCAUAAGCCUGUGAUUUCAGGCCAACUUUUAUGCUUCGCUUCAUUACACGAACUUCAUAUGUUGCAAUUACCAUGUUUGUCGGAAUCACAUUCCAUUUCUUCAGUCGUCUCCUUGGAUUUUUCGGAGGAUUUGCUUUUGCCCUAACAACAUAUUUUCUCCCUUGCAUAAUGUGGCUUGCCAUCUACAAACCAAAGAGAUUCGGCUUAUCCCGGUGGUGCAACUAUAUCUGCAUAUUCUUUGGUGUUCUUUUGAUGGUUCUAUCACCAAUUGGAGGGCUGAGAUCAAUCUGAGUUCAAGCCAAGACCUACGAGUUCUACUCUUAAGCAGUUGAUCAUCAUCCUUCCAAGCGAAAAGCCUGGAAGAGGGUAGUAGUAGUUUUUACAAGAAAAGAAAAGAAACACAGAGCCGUUUCUGAUGAAGGUGAUGAAGAAAGCUUGAGCAGCAAGUAAGCUGUGGACAAAGAAAUAAAUAAGGUUUGUUUAUGGAGUGGAAUACUCGUCGCCACCAUGGGACUAGUUUCCAAAGGGCUCUCUACUGUUUCCUUUUCUUCAUUAUGUAUUUGUUUGGGCAUGUCAUCAUGUAUAUGAUCUUUCUUUUUGUGUUUGUUUAUGCAUUCUGAGGUGGAUAUAUAUGUGUGAAAUCUUAAUUCCCAAAUACUGAUUGAUCCUAUAAUACGUCAAAUUUUGAGCAGUUAUAGCUAUUUCCACUUAUGAGUAUUAUUCAUUUAGCUUGGACUCGCCUAGCUAAUGCAAUCCAGCUUGAUCACUUUGUGUCCUAGGAAGGGGAUUUUGUACUACAUUUUUGCUUAUGUACCGUGGUGUGAAUAAAUUAGUUUUCUGUGCACUUCCUUUCGCCAGAUUUUACGAAU